GAGGACUGUGUCGAUAAUUAUGACAAUAAUAUUGAAAACUGUGGGCUAGAGAAUUGUUCUGGUAAUUAUGGAUAUUCAGAUUUUGAUUUUGUGAAAGAUGAAGAGGAAGAAGAAGACGAUCCUGAUAUUUCUGCUGAUCCUGUAUACAGUUUAAACUUCAAAGCUUAUUUAACUGAUUAUUUACAGCAAUUAAUGCGGCUAUCUUGUUAUAACAGUUUCUUAGAACAUUUAAAUGCUCAAGAAAGAAGUAUUCUAAGUAAUCUCGGAUUAGUAAUGUAGAUGUAAAUACAUGAAAGGUCUGUGAUUUUGUCCAUAAUCAUUUAAAUCUGUAUGUUUUUUCAUUUGUAUGAACAAUUAUAUAUAGCUAUAUUUUUACAGUGUAUUGCAACUUGUCUUGCCAUUUAUGAAAAUUCAUAAGAAAAGAUUUUGUAUAUUGACCAUAUCUCAAAGACUAUAUCUUUCCUGAUAUUAGCAUUUAAGUGUACAAUAUGAAACUAUGCAGAAAAUUGCAAUAAUAUAUAAUUUUUAUUAAUGAAAUACAUCCUGCUGUUUAUACUCUUUGAAAUAUAGAAUAGAUGUACAAAAUUAUAUUUUGGUGCACAUUGUUUAAUAUGUAAAUGAAAUAAAUUAACAUUUUAAGAGCUU